UAUACAAUUUGAUUUCAGUAAAUCGGUACUCAUUAGAUUAAUGGUUAUCUAGUCAUAAGUCAUAAUAAUUAAUAGGUAAUACAUUUAUAUACAAUUCACGCAAAAAAAAAAAACCAUAUUUAGUGGUGUUAUAACUAUAUAACGUUUAUUGAUAGUAAUUCAAACUCGAAUAAGUAAAACAUAUAGUAACUAAAUUAACAUAUGAGAUGGUGCCAUAUAUUAUAUUAUCUACAGUGCUAUCAACAAUAAUAAUUACACCGGCUACCAUUAAAAUCGAAUUUACUAAAUAAUUAAGAUGUAUCCCUAUUCCCUUCCUUAAUACACUACACUUUAUAGUAGUACAUACCUAUAUUAUAUUUAACCAUAUAAAUACAUUUAUAAACUAUUGUUAAAAUCACUAUCAGACAUAUGUAUAUAAUAUCAUAUCAUAUAUGUAUAUGGUUUACCAUUCACAAGAGGAAAUUUAGAUGAUUAUUAUGAUAAUCAAACCUGAAUCCAGUAUGGAAUUUCAAAUACAGUAAAAUAUAUAAUAUAAAUAUGAAUCCGUGGAAUCGGCUGAGAGCAGGUUUCCUUCUUUGUAAGUUCGUAGCUUAACGACGGAACUGUUAUAAUAAUCAGAUUUCCAUUUUCCACAUUAUAUUAUAAGGGUCUGAUUAAUUACCGAUAGAUACCAACAUAAAUAUGAUCGUUGCUGAUAUAAGUAAAGAUACGUAAUAAUAAUACCUUGUUAAAAGUUACAGUAUACUGAGAUCUAGUCUAUAAUUAACAAUCAAGAUUUUAAAGGAAGAAAUAUUGGAGUAUAUCUUGGUAAGUAUUGGUUUAAUAUCAACCACUAAAGAAGUUACAUUAGCGAUCCAUCCGACCGUCAUAUACGCUCAUAUACCGAUACACCGCAGCGAAACGUACUGACCAGUAUCGGAUUUGGACUUGCUACUUAAUUAUCAUAGCUGUACAAAAAUAAUUGGACCACUUAAGAAUGAAUUUAACAAAUGCGCAAAAAAACAUCAAUAAUUUAAAUGGUGAUUUGAAAUUGUUGUUCACGUUAUGAAUAUAAAUAAGUGAUAAUUUCAAUCAACUAUAAAGAGCAGCUGAUAGUGUUGAAACAAAAUAUUAAUUAGUUAUUGCAUACGCGAUUGGAUUGGCCAUAUCGAACAUUUUUAGUAAUAAUGAAAUAAUUUUAAUACGCGACGGAUUUAAAUCUACAUAACAUCAAAUUUUGUAAAAAAAAAUAUAUAUUUUUUCAAGAACGCUAAUGCACUUUUAAGAUAGGUAGGUACUUAACAUUUUUUUAAAUUACCCAGUAUGUAUGUAUAAUGAAUCUAGUAAUUAGUUUGGUUACUAAUUUUAUUUUAUUAUUUAUUUUUAUUUUGUUAAUUGCAUACUUGCAUGCGAUGAAUUAAACACCAAUCGACCGCACCAGCGAUAUUUAU